CACAGCUUCUUGUGGAAAAUAAAUCCCUUGGUAGUGUUUGUGUUUCUUGUAUGUGUGUGGGACUAUUUGGCUCAAAGCAAGUUCAAGCCAAAUCAAGAGUUCCAGUGUGUGCUGAACCUAAGCAGCCUUUACCUUGAACAUAAAGAACAUGGUCCAUCGGUUCGCCUGGCCUUCCCAGCGUUUCACCAGUGAUGCAUGCCGAAAUCCAUCACACAGGAAUGCGUCACUUCAUUUGACAUGGAUCCUUGCCCAGAAACUUGAAAGAAGAUGUAAACUUUAUUAGUUUGUGGACCAUGUAAGGAUUGUGUUUUUGUCACUUCUAUCUCCAUUCUAACGGGACAAGAACAACAGAAGACAGAUCACCUGCAUGACAUUUCGCUUAACCUUUGGGAAGAUGAAGAGAGUGUUGAUGUGGUAAGAAUGCGCACACGAAGAUAUACCAAUAUGAGUUUUCAGUAUAAUAAUUAAAGCAUUUGUUUAGAGGGAAAGUUAGAUAACUUAUAGACUGAGGAGUUAUUAUACCACACAACUAUUGUAAAAUUUAAAAAGGUAGCUGAAUCAGUAAU
rnacentral:lncRNA from 1 species